rfam:Citreicella sp. 357 C357_260, whole genome shotgun sequence.
UUUGGUGGUCACAGCGCGAGCAAAACACCCGGCUCCAUUCCGAACCCGGCCGUUAAGUGCCGUUGCGCCGAUGGUACUGCGUCUCAAGACGUGGGAGAGUAGGUCACCGCCAAAC